AAGCAUGCAAGUCGAACGGCAAGAGGUAGCAAUACCUCCUAGAGUGGCGGACUGGUGAGUAACACGUGGGUGACAUACCCUUCAGAUGGGGAUAGCUAUUAGAAAUAGUAGAUAAUACCGAAUACGAGCACAGGGUUAGAGAUCUGUGAGGAAAGGAGCUAAGGCUCCGCUGAAGGAAUGGCCUGCGGCCCAUUAGCUAGUUGGUGAGGUAAGAGCCCACCAAGGCGAUGAUGGGUAUCCGGCCUUAGAGGGUGAACGGACACAUUGGGACUGAGAUACGGCCCAGACUCCUACGGGAGGCAGCAGCUAAGAAUAUUCCGCAAUGGACGAAAGUCUGACGGAGCGACGCCGCGUGGAUGAAGAAGGCCGGAAGGUUGUAAAAUCCUUUUGAAACUGAAGAAUAAGCGUUGUAGGGAAUGACAGCGUGGUGACAGUAGGUUUUGAAUAAGCAACGGCUAAUUACGUGCCAGCAGCCGC
rnacentral:rRNA from 1 species